rnacentral:rRNA from 1 species
CCUACGGGGGGCUGCAGUGGGGAAUAUUGCGCAAUGGGGGAAACCCUGACGCAGCAACGCCGCGUGAGUGAAGAAGGCUUUCGAGUCGUAAAACUCUGUCUUCAGGGAAGAAAAAAUGACGGUACCUGAGGAGGAAGCCCCGGCUAACUACGUGCCAGCAGCCGCGGUAAUACGUAGGGGGCAAGCGUUGUCCGGAAUCACUGGGCGUAAAGGGCGCGUAGGCGGUAUAUUAAGUCAGGUGUGAAAGUUUUCGGCUCAACCGGAAAAGUGCACUUGAAACUAAUUUACUUGAGUACUGGAGAGGUAAGCGGAAUUCCUAGUGUAGCGGUGAAAUGCGUAGAUAUUAGGAAGAACACCGGUGGCGAAGGCGGCUUACUGGACAGAUACUGACGCUGAGGCGCGAAAGCGUGGGGAGCAAACAGGAUUAGAUACCCCAGUAGUC